CCAGGAACACCGCUACUCCGGAGACCCGCUCAGGGGCGAACCUAUGCAGGCCUACAGGGGAUUUAAGAGUAUCUCGAACAAAUCAGUUAUCAUUAUGAUGACACCACGUAGAGUAGAGCUGAUAUAAGUACAACCUGCAGCUGUGUUGUAAAUACGAAGAGACACAGAAAGAUCUUUACGGAAAAAAGCAGUUUUGAUACAGGACGAAUUGUUGUAAGUAGGAGACAUGUAGUUCUGAGUUCGAUACGUGUGGUUGCAAAUAGGAAACAUACGAUUUACGUUGAUGAGAGAAUGAACAACUGGAAAACUCCGCUGCAGAAUUUUCAAGUGAAAAGUCAGCCAGCUGAUAAUCCCAGGAUUCAUGUCGAGACCGCUUCCAGAGGAUCAUUAAAAAUAGAGCUACCUAAGAAGAACUCCCCAGUAACAAUAUAGCUAGUGACAACAAGGGACAAGAAACCAUCCCAUCGGUAUACCAUGAACCUCAGUAGAGAAAACCACCUAAAAGACUUUGUAAAUGGAAGGGAGCAGUUUCUGACGAAAUCACAAGCAAGGGAAGAGGUGACGUGGAAACAAAAAAAAAGAAGGAAACCGUUGCUGAGUUGGGUGAUGUCUUCGGAAGGUUUUCUUUUUUUCAGCAGGACUCUGUGCACGGAUGAUCUCGUGACGUCGGCUUAGGAGAACCGAGCGGUGUAGGGCAGAGCAGAGAGAUGUGGACCAUACUAGAUACUGAAGAUGCAAGCCAAGUUCUUUCAGUGUAGACAUCAGAAGGUCGAAGAGCAUCUUUCCAGAGCCAGCAGAGGGCCGCCGGCUCUCGUUCUCAUUGUGAGGAUCAGGUUGAUCGAUAGGCUUGUUUGAACUAUACUUGGUCAAAUCUUAACGAAGUCUGACUAAGUGAUAGUUAGCGUAGUAGCCUGAAUACUAUAUAAGAACUUGCUAGGGUUAUUUGGACUUAUUUACGAGAUGAUCAGAUUUCUUCAAGAGCGUGUCUCAUUUCCGGUGCAACACGUUUGGAAACGAGGGUGGUAUGUAAAAAAGGCUUGAAGAAACGCUGAAAAGACAGAAUGAAAACUUCUUGAAUACUCUGAGAUCAACGAAAGCUGUAUAGUGUCGAGAAAAAUAUGUUGUAUCAGACUUUAGUAACUAAGAAUAAAAUCCAAUGAGUUUGUUUAUCCCUGCAUA